UUAAAGGAACACUAUAGUCACCUAAAUUACUUUAGCUAAAUAAAGCAGUUUUAGUGUAUAGAUCACUCCCCUGCAAUUUCACAGCUCAAUUCACUGUCAUUCAGGAGUUAAAUCACUUUGUUUCUGUUUAUGCAGCCCUAGCCACACCUCCCCUGGCUAUGAUUGACAGAGCCUGCAUAAAAAAAAAAAAAACUGGUUUCACUUUCAAA